UGCCAGCUGUCAGAAGACCCGAGUG
rnacentral:miRNA from 1 species